UCUUACCAAGAACUCCUUAACUUGAGGGUGAACAACUUAAAGCUUGAUCCUACAGUUACCUGAAAAGUGAUUUGAGUAUUCAUUGAACUGAAAGAACAAAUCGCCUACUUCAGGCGGUGGCAAGCGUAUGGAAAUUAUAUUAGAACUUCAGCAAAGUGCACAGCUGCAUAAUAGAGAAGCCGGCACUCAGAUUGACAGGCAAAUAAGCCAGCUUGUGGAAGGGGCCUCUGGGUGGCAGCUCUGGGCUUUUGGGUGUUGGACAACCAUAGGCAAAACUGAAAUGGAACAGGGGCAGAAAAUAGCACACUUUUACUCUACGCAACUGUUGCUUUUUCAUGAUCUUCAGGAAUUUUACUGGGAUAAUUAUCCAAAUAAAUUGCAAGCAUUCUAUCCAAAUGGGAAAUCUGGGAAGAAAGAGAAUAGAAUGAGGUACAUGUUAGAAAUGGAAAUGGCGAAGAGCUCUUUCUGAGAUGAAGAGAAUUCUCAAUGUCAAGAUUUGAACAAGAAGAGAAUGGAAUACACAAUAUGGACAUCCAUAAAAAUUCAUCAGAGAGCAUUUUACUACUGAGCUGCAAAGGUAGGAAAAAUAAAUUUUUUUUGGUUAGAAAAUAUACUUCUUUCAUCUGCGUUUCAAUAAUUUAUUCCCCUUGUUAGAUAUACAUGGAAUUGAUAUUGCUUAUUCUGACUAAGUGAAAAGUGUUAUUUCUACUUACUGCUCAAUUAGAAACAUGUAGUGUUUAAUUGUCAGUUUGAAUUUUUCUUUCAUACUAUUACAGUUUAUAUUUUACUAUAGGCAGAAUUUCCUCUUUAUCCUAAAUUUUGAUAUUCUCCAUAAUUUCAUCGUGCCUUGACAUUGCUGUAUAUAAUUUCUAUACAUCAGGAAGGCAAUUCUGUGUGCAUGUGUGUGUGUAUAUAUAUAGUUAGAAGUUAGAAACUGAAACUCUUUUUUGUCUACCAUCAUUUCAUAUUUUUCUUGCUAUUUCAAACCUAUAAUUUUUAAAGAAACGACUAACGUAAUCAUUCAUAGAAUAUGCUGUCAGUAACUUAACAAUAUAAAUGUUAACAUGGAGGCAUUUAGUUCAGCAUUUGCUUUACUUAAUAGAGUGCAGAAAAUGUGGCCCUUUUCUCAGUUAGGGUGUAUGUGAAGAUAAAUUUAGAAUUUCUAGACUAGUAAAUACUUCUCUGAUAAUAACUUAAUUAUAGCUAUUUCAAACCAAAUUGUUUAAUUGUGGUGAAUCAUAUGUAAAUUGUUCAGAUGUAGGUCAACACCCACGCCCACAUUCUAGCACCUCUUUCCUAAUUCAAGACAACUUUGCAGUGCCUAAAAGAGCUGAACAGUGCAGAUUAGAGACAUAAGACAAAAAAAAAAAAAAAA
rnacentral:lncRNA from 1 species